AGGACUCGCUUGAGCUGCACAUGGUGCUGCUGGAACUGGAGGAUAUGGAGAAACAGAUCCGUGGCCUACUCGACAAGCAGGCCCAGCUGCUGGAGUGAAGAACUGUGCUGGAAACAUCUUGUGCUUCUGCCUACACAUCCAAGGUAAGCACGCAGCAUGGUAUUACCACUCCCAGGCUCUCUACGCCAUGUGUUUCUCUGUGCAGGGACCGUGCACCCAAGACCCAAGCAGCGAAAGGUGAGAGCCAUACCCUGGGCGAGGACCUCUCCACCUCUGGUGUUAGAGAUCCUAACCAGGAACCACUUCACCCCUCUCCGUCAGACCAGACCAAACGCUGUGAUCAUUUGGGACUCCAUUGUGCGAAACGUCCGUGUCGCUUUAACAAAGGGUAAGGUGCACACACAUUGUUUUUCUGGUGCUAUUGUCCUUGAUGUCACUGCAAAGGUACCCGGGAUCCUGAAGAAGGACGAGUGGUCGUGCUGCACGCGGGGGCAAAUGACAUCAGGCUGCGGCAGAUGGAGGUUCUGAAGAGGGACUUCGCCAGCCUGAUUGAGACGGUACGAGGCAGAUCAACCACCAUGAAGAUCAUCGUCUCUGGAGCUCUUCCCACAUAGACGUGGAGCUGAAAAGUUCAGUAGACUUCUUGCUUUGAAUGACUGGUUAGUUUCUUGGUGUAAUGAACAGAAUCUGCUGUUUGUUAAUAACUGGAAUCUGUUCUGGGAGCGACCUAGGUUGUUUUGUCCUGAUGGCCUGCACCCCAGCAGCCUUGGAACGGAACUGCUGUCAGACAACAUCUCCAAGAUGCUACACACCAAGUGACUGCCUACUGUUUCUGCCUCUUAACAUCAUAGGGAGUUUUUGCUUGCCACCGUUGCCACCAGCUUGCUCAGUUGGGAUAAAUGCGCACUUUUAAUCUCUGUAUACCGUGUUCAUAUUUAUGUAAAGCUGCUUUGAGACAAUAUCUAUUGUAAAAAGCAAUAUACAAAUAAAAUUGAAUUGAAUUGAAA
ensembl:lncRNA